rnacentral:lncRNA from 1 species
AGUGCAUCUUCUCUCUAGCGCAUAUGGCAAAAGUCAUAAUGUCAUGUGUCACAACUGAUAAGGUUAACUGUUGACAUGAUAGAAGUCUGCGCAUGAGCUUGUCAAGGGGCUUCCAAUUUCUAAGUCAAUCCAUCCCUCCUUCCCCUCAGUAUGUAGCCACAGGUGGCAGUGAUCUGUAAUAAAAGGCCUUUUCACUCCUUUGAUAAAAUGACCCAGAGCUUUCCUGUGCUCCACUGUAAACCACCCAUGUCCUAUGUGUGCUAUGGAGCCUAAGGUUAGUAGCUGCCAUUGACAUCCAAAAGCCGCACACGAUGACAAGAAUAUUCUGUAUCCUUUCUACUCCACAGAGACACUUGACUGAAUGGGAGGCCAAGUGGCGAGCAAAGAAUGAAAGGAUCAGGCAGAAGCAGCACCAGAUUGAGAAACUGAACACCACCAUUCAAGGAUUGUCUUUGAAGAGUCAGGUAUGUCCCACCCACCUACUGUAGAAACCCAUCCCAUUUCUGUUCAAUGGUCAUUUUGAUGGCAGGACUCCUACCUAGGUGUUACUGAGGUCUGAAAUGUCUUUGCCCCUUCUCUUUAAUUAUGGAUGUAAAUAAGAGACAGGAGUGGGAAACAAUGUUUGGAACGCCCUCUGCUGAAUAGUUUCUGCUAUUUCUACAAUAGGUUUGUUUUCUGAAAGAGCAUAGAAUUCCUCUCAACCCAGACUUUGACGAGGCAGACAUAGAGGCCGGUAUAACAUCCUGUAAAUGUGGAAUGGAAGGGCGAUGAUCUGUUCUGGCAGGUUCCUCAUGUACUUGGUUGUGUAUGAGUGUAAGAACAGACACACAAUACAUAAUAGGUAACCUCUCCCUCCCCUUCUCUCUCUCUCUCUCUCUCUAAUGCUUAGGUAAUUCCCUUUCUGUUCUACACUUAGGCAAUAAGACCCACAGUAUUCAAAUUCUCUCCCACCACCAUUUAAUGCUUCUUGAUAGAGCUUAAGGCCUCAUUGAGCAGGGAGUAUGAAGUGCAGAGAGGGUGCAGCAUUGUCGUAGCAGGGUCAUUUGUUCCCUUUAUUUUUGUGUUUUGUUUUGUUUUUUAACGAAGGAGCUCCACAGAAACAUCACCCUCUUGGAAGAUCGUGUGGUGGAAGCUCAGCAGGAAGCGGCAUUGUAAGGAUCACCCUUUAUAUUCUUCCUGAUCGACUGUCAUUAAGCAGAGAGACACUAUUAUUUACCAUGUUGUUCAGAAGCCUGGGUUCAAAUACUAGCUAGGUUCUGGACAGGAUGGCUUGGGCCACAGCCAUAAAUCCUAUGGACUCAGUUCCUUAUUUGCAACUCAACGACCACUGGGGCGUUGAAUUAAAUGUAGGCUGAAAAUGGUAAGCAAUGAAAGACAGAUGGACUUCCCUAUUUUAAAAAAGGGAGGGGGGACCAUAUGGACCUUAUACUUUAUUCAAUGGUAGGGGGUGGUGAUACUUUAUUAUACCACUAAA